AGCUUUGCGCAGUGGCGAUAUCGUAACCAAUGAGGUUUUACCGAGGUGCGAUUAUUGCUAGUUGAAAAAAAAAAGCAUAAUAUAAAGACAACGAGAAGACAACAUAAUCGUUUUAUUAUUAAUUAUCAUGUUUCAAAAAAU